rnacentral:rRNA from 1 species
UAGGGAAUUUUCCACAAUGGACGAAAGUCUGAUGGAGCAACGCCGCGUGCAGGAGGAAGGCCCUCGGGUCGUAAACUGCUUUUAUUGGUGACGAUUUUGACGGUAGCCAAUGAAUAAGGACCUGCUAACUACGUGCCAGCAGCCGCGGUCAUACGUAGGGUCCAAGCGUUAUCCGGAAUUACUGGGCGUAAAGAGUUGCGUAGGUGGCAUAGUAAGUUAGUAGUGAAAGCGUGCGGCUCAACCGCAUAUCCAUUACUAAAACUACUAAGCUAGAGUAUGGGAGAGGUAGAUGGAAUUUCUAGUGUAGGAGUGAAAUCCGUAGAUAUUAGAAGGAACACCGAUGGCGUAGGCAGUCUACUGGCCCAUUACUGACACUAAGGCACGAAAGCGUGGGGAGCGAACGGGAUUAGAUACCCGCGUAGUCC